rnacentral:rRNA from 1 species
CAACCUGCCGUCUACUCUUGGACAGCCUUCUGAAAGGAAGAUUAAUACAAGAUGGCAUCAUGAGUCCGCAUGUUCACAUGAUUAAAGGUAUUCCGGUAGACGAUGGGGAUGCGUUCCAUUAGAUAGUAGGCGGGGUAACGGCCCACCUAGUCUUCGAUGGAUAGGGGUUCUGAGAGGAAGGUCCCCCACAUUGGAACUGAGACACGGUCCAAACUCCUACGGGAGGCAGCAGUGAGGAAUAUUGGUCAAUGGGCGAGAGCCUGAACCAGCCAAGUAGCGUGAAGGAUGACUGCCCUAUGGGUUGUAAACUUCUUUUAUAAAGGAAUAAAGUCGGGUAUGGAUACCCGUUUGCAUGUACUUUAUGAAUAAGGAUCGGCUAACUCCGUGCCAGCAGCCGCGGUAAUACGGAGGAUCCGAGCGUUAUCCGGAUUUAUUGGGUUUAAAGGGAGCGUAGAUGGAUGUUUAAGUCAGUUGUGAAAGUUUGCGGCUCAACCGUAAAAUUGCAGUUGAUACUGGAUAUCUUGAGUGCAGUUGAGGCAGGCGGAAUUCGUGGUGUAGCGGUGAAAUGCUUAGAUAUCACGAAGAACUCCGAUUG